rnacentral:tRNA from 1 species
GGCUCGGUAUCUUAGUUGGUAAAGCACUUGUCUAGCGAAUAAGGGUAGUGAGUUCAAAUCUCACCUGAGCUG